rnacentral:rRNA from 1 species
CGACCUUGCCUGGUGGUGGGGGGAUAGCCGGCCCAACGGCCGGGUAAUACCGCAUAGGGUGGUUUCUUCGCAUGGAGAGACUAGCAAAGCCCUGGAGCAAUCCAGUGGCGCCACAGGGGGGCUCGCGGCCUAUCAGCUAGUUGGCGGGGUAAUGGCCCACCAAGGCGACGACGGGUAGCUGGUCUGAGAGGAUGGCCAGCCACAUUGGGACUGAGAAACGGCCCAG